AUGAUCUCGCAGGCUCAGCUCAUCUGGCUGUUAGUGCUCUGCAUCCAGGACUCCCAGGGGCAGAUUGUGCUGACCCAGACUCCGGAAUCCCUGGCAGUGUCCCCAGGAGACAGAGUCACCAUCAACUGCAAAGCCAGUUCCAGCCUUACAGAUGAGGAUUUUGGCAGUGAUACCUUAGCCUGGUACCAGCAGAAAACAGGGCAAGCUCCUAAGCUUCUCAUUUAUGAGGCUUCCACCCUGCAAACUGGAGUUCCAGCCCGGUUCAGUGGCAGUGGGUCUGGAACCGAUUUCACUCUCACGAUCAGCAGUGUUGAAGCUGAAGAUGCUGGAGAUUAUUACUGCCAACAAGGCUCAAGCUGGGCCUAUUCCAGAGGUAAAGGUGAGAACCUUGACAUAGUCAUAACUGACUGA